AUUGAACGCUGGCGGCAUGCCUAACACAUGCAAGUCGAACGGCAGCAUGGUCUUGCCUGCUAGAUUCAUGGGGCGAGGCGCACGGGUGAGUAAUACAUCGGAACGUUCCCUGUAGUGUGGGAUAACUAGUCGGAAGAUUUACUAAUACCGCAUACGACCUGAAGGUGAGAGAGCGGGGCCGCUCGGCCUCUUGCUAUAGGAUAGGCCGAUGUCUGAUUAGCUAGUUGGUGGGGUAAAGGCUCACCAAGGCGACGAUCAGUAGCUGGUCUGAGAGGACGAUCAGCCACACUGGAACUGAGACACGGCCCAGACUCCUACGGGAGGCAGCAGUGGGGAAUAUUGGACAAUGGGCGAAAGCCUGAUCCAGCAAUGCCGCGUGUGUGAAGAAGGCCUUCGGGUUGUAAAGCACUUUUGUUCGGAAAGAAAGGCAGCAGGUUAAUACCUGGCUGUGAUGACGGUACCGGAAGAAUAAGCACCGGCUAACUUCGUG
rnacentral:rRNA from 1 species